UGCAGAUGGCGAAUCCACAUGAACCUCAUUUUUUUAAGCCUCUGCUUCCUGGUUUCCACAGUGGCGUCACAAUACCACUUGGCUUCUUCUCAAAGCACAAAGAAGGGAAGACGAACCAGAAAACAUGGAAACUAAGAUCGGACGCUUCAGAUCAAACUUGGGAAGUGAUACAAGAAGGCAGGACACUCACCGGAGGUUGGAAAGAUUUCACCACAGCACAUGACCUUCAAAUCGGUGACGUUGUCAUCUUCAAACACGAAGGAGACAUAGUGUUUCAUGUCACUCCUUUUGGUCCUAGCUGUUGUGAGAUUCAGUAUACACAUCCUCACAUCAUCAAGGAAGAAGCCGACGCGGGUGAUGCUGAUGACAAUGAGAUUAGUAAGUUUCAAUCAAAGUUCAUCGUUUUGGUCCUAGCUGUUGUGAGAUGUUUUGACGUGGAAAAUUAUUUUUUUUAUUUCAGGAGGAACAUGGGCAAUGUCUUCUUUCUCAUUCGACUACUGUUUUUUGGCUGAAGUCACUGCUUCAAAUCUAAAAGCAGAUAAACUUGUGAGUCAAUUUUCAUACGUAAACCAUAUUUUGUUAGUCAAUUUUCAUACGUAUAAACCAUAUUAUGUGUUUGCAGUAUCUUCCUAAGGGAGCUACGAGUUCUACUGCUUUAAACAAACAAUGCCAAGAGAUGAUACUAGUGAACAAAGAGGGAAAUUCAUGGACUGUGAGUUUGCGAUUUAGCGAAUCAGGCGGCAUGUAUUACAUCACAAGAGGCUGGGGAAAGUUCUGUCGUGAUAACAGAUGCGACAUAAGAGACUUAUUUGUGUUCAAUCUGGUUGGAGAUGGGAAAACUACUCCAUUGUUGUGUGUAUGUCCGGAAAGUAAAGAGUGUUCUGAACUACUGAGCAAACACUUGAGCAGAAAGCGUGGUGAGUCUUCUCCAUUGACUUGCUUGAGACGUCUUUAACUUGCUUGUUCUUUCUUUGCUUCUGGUUUAACUUGCUUGUUUUGUUUUGUUCUGCAGGUGACAUUGCUUCUGACUCACGGGUGAAUUAGGAGAAUGGUCAAGUAGUCUUGCGUCUCUUUAGCUUGCGUCUCUUUAGCUAUGUAUCUCGGACUUGUUUAGAGCUUCUAUCCUAUUGUUUCCUUGCUACAAUGUACUUGUAUGAUCAGUUCAGUUUAGACUCAAGUUCUUGUGUUUCUCGAGUAUCAACUUACUUAUAAGUUUAAAUCUUUUUCCUCUACUCUUGUAAGUUUAAAUCUCUUUAGCUAACUACAAUUUUGCUUCUCUUCAUUCUCUUGUCUUUUAUGUUAUACAAGUAAGAAGAUAACUUGUACAAGUAAGAACAUAACAAAAUCAAGCUAAGAAGAUAACAAAAGUUAUACAAAUAAGAAACAUAAUUUAUAUACAAAAUGAGAAAUUAUAUACAAAACUUUUACUUAUAGAUAAAAAUUAAAACAUAAUUUACAGUUAUAGUUUAAAAAAAACACUAAUUUUAGCUUAUAGUUAAAAAAAAUAUAAAAUACUUAUUUGAUUUUACAUUUUCUUUAAAAAUAUGUUUAAUUAUUGUAUGUUUACAUUUUCUUUUCUAAUAAAUGAAAAUUUUUAAUUUCAAAUUUUAAAAUUUAAAAUUUCUAAGAUUAAAAAAAAAACACUAAAGAUUCCAUGUUAAAUAACACCAUUAGACCUAUAAUUAUGAUAAGAGUCUUUAACUAUUGAAAAAAAAACAUUAUAAUAUAGCUAAGGAUUCUAAUGGUGGAUAACACCAUUAGAGCACCAUUAACCCAAAACCUCAUAUAGGGGUGCUUAUUUUUUUUUUAAUAUUAUUUAGUUGUAAAAGUGAUUUAAGAAGCAACGCUAAGAACCCUGGACAUUUUUGUGCUCCAAUGGGGAACUCUUAUUUUGGGGUUCUUAAAAAAAAAACAUUAUUUUUGCUUGUGUUCUUCUUGAUCAGCAGAAACGAUUAAUUUCUCAAAAGUUUGAUCAGAAAAUUGAUCAAACUUUUCAUCAAAUGCAUUAUCAAAUGCAUCAUCAAAUGAUUCAUCUAAAGUG